AACUUUCAGCAAUGGAUCUCUUGGCUCUCGCAUCGAUGAAGAACGCAGCGAAAUGCGAUAAGUAAUGUGAAUUGCAGAAUUCAGUGAAUCAUCGGAUCUUUGAACGCACCUUGCACCCUUUGGUAUUCCGAAGGUUAUGCUCCUUUGAGUGUCAUUGUACUCUCACACUCUCUGAUCCUUUGGAUUCAAGGAGCAGUGGACUUGGGUGCUUGCUGCUUUCCUUGUGGCUCCCCUCAAAUGCGUCAGUGCACCUCUUGGUUGGACAUAGUACGGCGUGAUAAGUAUCUUCGCCGGCACCUCGCAAGAGGGUGGUCAAUUGGGAGCUCUGUGCUUUCAAACCGUCUUCGGACAAUUUCUGACAACUUGACCUCAAAUCGAGUAGGACUACCCGCUGAACUUAAGCAUAUCAAUAAGCGGAGGCU
rnacentral:misc_RNA from 1 species